CCAUACCACCCUAAACACACCCAAUCUCAUCUGAUAUCAGAAGCUAAAUAGGGUCAAGCCUGGUUAGUACUUGGGUGGGCGAAAAAUACUUUUGAAGCCAGAUG
rnacentral:rRNA from 1 species